rnacentral:sRNA from 1 species
UACCCGAUAUUCCACAAAAGGGGGCCG